rnacentral:misc_RNA from 1 species
CCAGUGACGGGUGCAUAUGCGCAUCCAUCAGUGCAGACGAAAGGCGCUGAGGCAGACUGGACGCCCAUACAAUGCACAGACAGGGGUGUGUAGCCACUCCUUGAUGAAGGCUCCGCAUCUGCACUGUCCAUUCUGCUCCCAGGACAGUCUCUUCACUGAGGAGAUUCUCCUCAAGGCGCACUACGUACAGGGUCAAGUACGUGGAUAAAGGCAUCAACUUUGGGGGAUGUCAACCAGAUCUUCACCACAUACACUGACCCAGCACCCAACAGUACCAGCCUGGUAACACACCUCAUAGUCCCCCAGUCACAGCAGCCAUCGGAGACAGACACAUCAUCCCCGGGGCUAUGAGCAGACUGAUGGGCAGCAGCCGCAGAUCGAGUACCAGUAUGCCUGCAUCAAUGAUCCGAGUCAGAGCACUGCCAAUGGGGAAGUUGUCCUUAUUGAAAUACCAGAUGAAGGAAGCAAAGAGGAUUUGGAGGACGAGACUUGCUACACAGAGCACAACUUGUCGCUGCUGCUGCAGGAGAAGGAAAGUCUGGAGAAGACUCUUGAGGAGGAGCGGACCACGUGGGCCCAGACAGAGCACAGAAUGAAAGGUUGAGUAUUUGUCCAACACAAACAUGUCACUCAAGCAGCAGCUGUCCAUGAUGCACACGUCCAGUUUGAAACAUCUAACCAACGAC